GCGGGAGGGCAGGGUUGGUUGCGCUGGAAGGGACGGGGCAUCGGACCCGCGCACACACACACGCCCCGCAAACUCGGACCCGCUCACACACCCAGGCCCUGAUCCCCCCGCCCGCCCGCCAUGAAGCUGAUGGUGGAUUUCGAGGAGUGUCUGAAGGACUCGCCGCGCUUCAGAGCUGCAAUAGAGGAAGUUGAAGGAGAUUUUGCUGAAUUGGAGUUAAAACUUGAAAAGGUUGUCAAGUUGUGCAUUGGGAUGAUCGAUGCUGGAAAGAACUUCUGUAAUGCCAACAAACAGUUUGUCAAUGGAAUUCGUGAGUUGGCCCAACACUCCACCAAGGACGAAGUCAUUGAGAACAGUCUAAUGAGGUUUUCGGAUAGCCUUCAGGAGAUGGUUAAUUUUCACACAAUUCUGUUUGACCAAGUCCAAAGAUCCAUCAAGUUGCAACUUCAGUCAUUUGUGAAAGAUGAUCUCAGAAAAUUUAAAGAAGCGAAGAAACAGUUUGACAAGGUCAGUGAAGAGAAGGAGAAUGCACUGGUGAAAAAUGCUCAGAUUCAAAGAAAUAAGCAGCAUGAGGUGGAGGAGGCGACCAACAUUCUGACAGCCACACGGAAAUGCUUCCGGCACAUCGCGCUGGACUAUGUGCUGCAGAUUAAUGUCCUUCAGUCAAAGAGGCGAUCGGAGAUUUUAAAAUCGAUGUUGUCGUUCAUGUAUGCCCAUCUUGCAUUCUUUCACCAAGGAUAUGACCUCUUCAUGGAACUGGAGCCUUACAUGAAGGACUUGGGAGCACAGCUGGAUAAAUUAGCCGUGGAUGCAGCUAAAGAGAAGAGAGACAUGGAACAUAAACACUCCACUAUUCAACAAAAGGAUUUCUCCAGCGAUGAUCCCAAGAUGGAAUUUAAUACGGAUGCUGCCAAUGGCAUUGUCAUGGAAGGAUAUUUAUAUAAACGUGCCAGUAAUGCCUUCAAAACAUGGAACCGGAAAAAGACCCCCCACAUCAGGCGCUGGUUUUCAAUUCAGAACAACCAGCUUGUUUACCAAAAGAAGUUCAAGGAUAACCUGACUGUAGUAGUUGAUGAUUUACGACUUUGUACAGUCAAGCCAUGUGAGGAUAUUGAGAGACGUUUCUGCUUUGAAGUCGUCUCACCUACAAAGAGCUGUAUGUUGCAAGCAGAUUCUGAAAAAAUCCGGCAAGUUUGGAUCAAAGCUGUUCAAGCCAGUAUAGCGACAGCAUACAAGGAGAAGGGAGAGGAAAGCCAUGCGGAUAAGUUGGACAGAAGGUCGUCCCCAUCAACCAGCAGUCUGGACUCGGGGAGUGAAUUGAAGGAGCGCCCAGUGAAAGGCGAAAGUGCACUUCAGCGCGUCGAGUGUAUUGCUGGCAACAGCAAUUGCUGCGACUGUGGCCAGUCGGACCCUCGCUGGGCUAGCAUCAAUCUGGGAAUCACCCUGUGCAUCGAAUGUUCAGGCAUUCACAGAAGUCUGGGUGUCCAUUUUUCCAAGGUGCGUUCCCUGACUCUGGAUUCGUGGGAACCUGAGCUCUUAAAACUUAUGUGUGCAUUAGGAAAUAACGUUAUCAACAGAAUCUAUGAGGCACAGGUGGAUGAGAUAUACUUCAAGAAACCAAAUCCAGGAGACCCGAGGCCUGAGAAGGAAAGUUGGAUCAAAGCUAAGUAUGUUGAAAAGAAGUUUAUUCAGAAAGCUCAUACUUUAACUUCAUCAAAAAGAAGACAGAAUGUGUCAGUGCGGACCAGUCAACAGGAGGAUACCUGUGAAAAAUCCUCCAACCUUCUUUCUGUUCCAGGGAACACUUCAGGGGUAAAAAAUUCAGACAAUGGAGUUCUGAAUAACUCUGAUGGGAACAAAGAUGUGGUGAUGCCUGUGACCUCCAAUAACAAUGUACCAGCGAAAGCUUCGGAACAGUUUCUGGGAGAAGGAGUGGGAAAGGAUUUGUGCGCUUCGCAUGAAGUGAAAGCGAUGCCUAUAGGAUUACAGCUAUACACCGCUGCUCACCGUCGAAGCCUGCCUGACAUGGCAGAGGCAUUGGCCUGUGGUGCUGAUGUGAACUGGGCUCAUCCUGACGACAACAAGGCCACUCCUCUCAUUCAGGCUGUGCUGGGGGGUUCUUUGGUUGCCUGUGAGUUUCUGCUGCAGAAUGGAGCGGAUGUAAACCGCAGGGACAGCCACGGCAGAGGCCCACUGCAUCAUGCGACCAUCUUGGGCCACACCGGACAAGUGUGUUUAUUUCUGAAACGAGGAGCUGAUCAAGAUGCACGGGACGGAGACCAGAAAGACCCACUCAGCAUCGCUGUGGAAGCUGCCAAUGCAGACAUCGUCACACUGUUGCGCCUGGCCAAGAUGAAUGAUGAGAUGCGAGAAUCUGAGGGCAUCGGGCAGUCAGGUCAUUAUUCCAGUAACAGUCACACCGAGAUGCAAUAUAAAAAGUGCAUACAGGAAUUUAUUAGCUUGCAGCUGGAGGAUUCUUGAAUCGUAUGAUGUGGAUUCGUAUGAUGUGGAUUUUAAAUGGUUAUAUAGACGUCAGUUGUCUGGACGGGGGGGGGAAGGUUGGUGGCCAUGUGAUUUGACAGGUGAUUUGGCGAUCAAAGGACCAAUGCUUUGACCAGCUCAAUCUCAAAUGGAGAAUCUUUUAAUCAGGAAGAAUGUGCACGCCAACAUGAUUUGGCUAAUCUAAAUCAUGCACCUCACAAGUUUCAACCAGUAUUUGCAAAGUGAUAUUUUCCGGAAUAGUUCCUGAUGAUAUUUUCAUUGCUCAUUAAAUUUUUAAUAAUAGUUUUGAAAAUAUGAGAGCCUAUAAUUGCCUUGAGUCAUGAGUUUGUUUUGAAACGGUGAAAGUAGGAGGUUGCAGGAGAGGGGUUGUGUGCCUGGUUCCCGGGGUACAUCUGACUAGUCUCGCUCUCACAGCCCCACUCAGUGAUACAAACCUCUGCUGCCGAGGAAUAGGCCUGGCAGCCCCCUCACCCUGCCCACACCCCCCUUCUGACGUAAACCAAUGCAAAGGCAAUCAACUCCAAUCACAACACUCUAAAGGCACUUGGAUAGAUACAUGGAUAGGAAAGGUUUAGAGGGAAAUGAACCACAUGCGGGCAAAUGGGACCAUCAUAGGUGGGACAUCUUGGUUAGCAUGACCGUUGGGCCGAAGGGCCUGUUUCCAUGCUAUAUGACUAUGAUACUACAACGGGGUUGUCUAGUCGCCAGUUCUGGUCCUGUUGUUGAUUGAUAUCCAUCCCCUUGCACUUUGCAAAAGUAAAUCACUGGAGAACAAACCAGGGGCUGGAAUUAUGACUGACUUUUCUUUUUUAGUCCAUAGACUAGAAUACAGUACACCCCCUAAAAUUAACCUUUUGUCCUCAUUAGUCCAUUUGGCCAUUCUUAGCUGCAUCAGUUCCUCGUGAUUUUAUUUUUUACUUUUUGUACUUUAGCACAACUUGCUUCCUUGAUUGGAAAAGGUUAUCAAUGUUUAUUUGCAUCAGUAUAAAAGACUGCGUUGAUCCUGUUGCUGGGAGACUGUGCUGCAGCACGUGCUCACCAGCUCCACAGCCUUCAGUCAGCAAUGGUCAUCAUGUCAACAGAGCAGAAUUAGGCCAUUCGGCCCAUUGAGUCUACUCCGCCAUUCAAUCAUGGCUGAUCUAUCUCUCCCUCUCAACCCCAUUCUCCUGCCUUCUCCCCAUAAUCCCUGACACCCGCACUGAUCAAGAAUCUAUCUAUCUCUGCCUUAAAAAAAUACCCAAUGACUUUGCCUCCACAGCCGUCAGUGGCAAAGAAUUCCGCAGAUUCACUACUCUCCAAAGAAAUUCCUCCUCAUCUCCUUCCUAAAGGAAGGCCCUCUAAUUCUGAGGCUGUGCCCUCUGGUCCUAGACUCUCCCACUAGUGGAAACAUCCUCUCCACAUCCACUCUAUGCAGGCCUUUCACUAUUCGUUAAGUUUCAAAGACCCGCCUCAUCCUGGUCAACAGUCCCUUCCACUGUUGGGCAGAAGUCACAACUCACUGUUGGCUGUUCAUGGUCAGUCACACUGCCACAACACGCACACUCAAACAUACAACUGCACUGGGCCGCAAAGUUUAGACAGCUAAAUUAUUCCAGUGCACAGAGAAAAAAUUAACAUAAGAAAUGUUUAAUUUUAACAUUUCUUUCAAAUGCAAUGCAAGUGGAAUAUAUGGUAAUUUUUCCUGUUACUUUUAAUAUUGCUGAGAAAGACAAUAAGAUACAAAUAUUCUUGCUGUUGUAUCUUGAUGGUUUUAGUGUGUGGAGUUUUUUGUUAAUUCAGUGUGAAAAUAUUCUUUCUCCAAAUGUCAAGCUUUUAUAAACACAUUUCACUUUGUGCAGGUAGUUUAAUUUGGAUUUCUGUUGGUCAAUAGACAAUAGGUGCAGGAGUAGGCCAUUCGGCCCUUCGAGCCAGCACCGCCAUUCAAUGUGAUCAUGGCUGAUCAUCCCCAAUCAGUUCCUGCCUUCUCCCCAUAUCCCCUGACUCCGCUAUUUUUAAGAGCCCCAUCUAGCUCUCCCUUGAAAGCAUCCAGAGAACCUGCCUCCACUGCCCUCUGAGGCAGAGAAUUCCACAGACUCACCACUCUGUGAGAAAAAGUGCUUCCUCGUCUCCGUUCUAAAUGGCUUACUCCUUAUUCUUAAACUGUGGCCCCUGGUUCUGGACUCCCCCAACAUCGGGAACAUGUUUCCUGCCUCUAGCAUGUCCAAACCCUUAACAAUCUUAUAUGUUUCAAUGAGAUACCCUCUCAUCCUUAUAAACUCCAGAGCGUACAAGCCCAGCUGCUCCAUUCUCUCAGCAUAGGAUAGUCACACCAUCCUGGGAAUUAACCUUGUAAACCAAUGCUGCACUCCCUCAAUAGCAAGAGUGUCCUUCCUCAUAUUAGGGGACCAAAACUGCACACAAUACUCCAGGUGUGGUCUCUUUAAUAUUUACACUUUUAAUUAGAAAUGAAUAAGGCACAAGAGUGACAUUUUAAGUUUUUAAUACUUCAAGAGCAGGGAAUAUAAUAAUGUGUGGUGUAGUGUUCGUGUUGCUGGGUGGGUGAUGUGGGAUGAAGGGCCUGCCCUUGUGCUGGAUCUCUUCAUUACUCUAUGAUUAUUGCAUAAAUAUAAAAAUGUGAUGAAAUGUUAGAAAACAUUGCAUUGGCAGUUAUGAUUUCAUAUAUUCAAUGUAUGGCUGAUAAUCAUAACUUGAUUAUGAUACUUGCUCAGUGAUUUAUAAAGACCAAAAGUAAAAGAAACCGCAGGAUAAAUGAUGAUGUUAAAAGCCAAAGCCAUAUAGACCACAUCCUGCACCAACCUUGUAGUUCGGUUUGAAUUGUACAUCAUAAGAGCCAAAUUGGUGCUAGCAAAUGUAUCCGUUUCAUUUCAUUACUUUAUUAUUGGUCUAUAUUUGCAAGUAUACUUUUGAAUGUAUAUGUGUGCCUUUUUGUGUUCUCAAUCUGGGAUUGCAAUGAGAUAUUUUUGUAUAUACCUUGUAUGAACUGUCGUGCACUUUAAAUGUAGCAUUGCGAUAAAAGAAAUGCAGUUGCUAAUGUCAAGGUCGACUUGAAUGAACAUUCCAAUGUUGAAGCAAGUUUAGCAGUUAAAAUACCUGAUGUAUCUCCUGAGUUCAUAAUUUAAACCCUUGUGUUUCCAACAAUAUUUGGGGAAAUAAAUUGUAGCCUGAAUCCUCUUGCUCAAAGUUCCCAUAGGAUAGUUUUAGUCCAGAUUUAAAGUCUGAAAACGGUGCUGAUCUGAAUGGCAUUGGGCUCCAUCGAUACAUAGACAAUAGGUGCAGGAGGAGUCCAUUUGGCCCUUCCAGCCAGCACCGCCAUUCAAUGUGAUCAUGGCUGAUCAUCCACAAUCAGUGCCCCGUUCCUGCCUUUCCAUAUCCCUUGAUUCCAUUAGCCUUAAGAGCUAAAUCUAACUCUCUCUUGAAUGUAUUUGGUGAAUUAGCCUCCACUGCCUUCUGAGGCAGAGAAUUCCACAAAUUCACAACUCUGUGUGAAAAGGUUUUUCAUCAUCUCAGUUCUAAAUGGCCUACCCCUUAUUCUUAAACUGUGGACGCUGGUUCUUGUCAUCCUUCUAAAUUCCAGUGACUGCAAGCCCAGUCGUCCAUUCUUUCAUCAUAUGACAGUCCUGCCAUCCCAGGAAUUAACCUCAUGAACCUACGCUGCUCUGCUUCAAUAGCAAUAAUGUCCUCCCUCAAAUUGGGAGACCAAACCUGCACACAAUACUCCAGGUGUGGUCUCACCAGGGCCCUGCACAACUGCAGAAGUCCUAUACUUAAUUCCUCUCGUUAUGAUGGCCGACAUGCCAUUAGCUUUCUUCACUGCCUGCUGUAGCUGCAUGCUUACUUUCAGUGACUGAUGUACAAGGACACCCAGGUCUCAUCGUACUUCCCCCUUUCCUAACUUGACACCAUUCAUAUAAUAAUCUGCCUUCCUGUUCUUGCCACCAAAGUGGAUAACCUCACAUUUAUCCACAUUAAACUGCAUCUGCCAUGCAUCUGCCCUCUCACCCAACCUGUCCAAGGCACCCUGCAUCCUCAUAGCAUCCUCUUCACAGUUCAUACAGCCACCCAGCUUUGUGUCAUCUGCAAAUUUGCUAAUGUUACUUUUAACACCUUCAUCUAAAUCAUUCAUGUAUAUUGUAAAUAGCUGCGGUCCCAGCACCAAGCCUUGCGGUACUCCACUAUUCACUGCCUGCCAUUCUGAAAGGGACCUGUUAAUCCCUACUCUUUGUUUCCUGUCUGCCAAACAAUUUUCCAUCCAUGUCAGCACUCUAUCCCCAAUACCAUGUGCUCUAAUUUUGCCCACUAAUCUCCUGUAUCAAAGGCUUUCUGAAAGUCCAGGUACACUACAUCCACUGGCUCUCCCUUGUUCAUUUUACUUGUUACAUCCUCAAAAAAUCCCAGAAGAUUAGUCAAGCAUGAUUUUCCCUUCGUAAAUCCAUACUGACUCGGACCCAUCCUGUUACUGCUAUCCAAAUGCGGCGCAAUUUCAUUUUUAAUAAUGGCAUAUCUCAGACAUUCUGCACAAUGCUAUUGUUAAUUUCAAUCGGGCACCAGCUGACUGUGGAGAAUCCAUUCAACCUGUUGCAGAAGACCCAAUAAUUACUGGAAUCUUUAGUUUGUGUGUUCACGUAAUCUACCUAGACUGCUCUUAUCCAUCCAGUUUUGAUUUUCAAACUGAUUCUCAAAAUAUAAACUUUGGCCUUGUUUACUUCUUGAAUGAUUAUUCUAACUUAGCCUGUUAUCUUUGUGGACUUGUUCAACUGCAUAACAUGAUCAGUAUUUUCUUUCAGUGUCUACCUUUUAACUUCUUAAUAUGGAGCUGUGAUCUUCAAAGUGUAAUAUAAAGUAGCCACAUGAUAGCUGCACAAUUUUAUUCUUACAAAUCUUGACAUAUGAUCAAAUCUGCUUCUUGUCAAUUGCAUCUUUAAGCCAUAGGUUCAAAUGAAGGAAAGUGUGCUUAUGUUCAAACUUGUAGGUAAUAUUGGAUUACAUCUAAAUUCUUGAUUUAUAAUGUGCUAACAAUUGUGACUUUGCUUCUGCUUGAGUUAAAUAUUGAUCUAAAUGUAUAUAAAUGAUUUGCAGAGCUGUAUAUUCAUGCAAAAGCAGAACUCCAAAAUUAUCUCAACUUAGUGGGUGCUGGUGACAUAACGUGUGGAAAGAACUGCAGAAGCUGGUUUAAAUCGAAGGUAAACACGAAAUGUGGAGUAACUCAACGGGGACAGGCAGCAUCUCUGGAGAGAAGGAAUGGGUGACGUUUCGAGUCGAGACCCUUCUUCAGACUGAAACGUCACCCAUUCCUCCUCUCCAGAGAUGUUGCCUUACCUGCUGUUACUCCAGCAUUUUGUGUCUACCUGGUGACAUAACUCUGGUUAAAAGCAGGACCCAAUUUACUCAUCCAUGUUGGCACCCAUAUUUGUUGAAUUUUUUAACAUAUAAUAUUUAAGAUAAAUUAAUCUCCAUCAAUUGGGAAAGUUACUUGUAGGAAAAAAAUUAAAUUAAGCCAAUAACACUACAAUUUUAAUGUUUACUAGACUAAGUGGGACCCGUUGGGCCCCGUUCCCCCAACGCAAUAUUCCACCACUCACCCGUUCCCCCAACACAAUAUUCCACCACUCACCCAUAGCCCCCAACUGCACAGGCGCGGCUCAUUUACCCUCAUCGCCCAACACGCCUUCCCCCUCCCCUUGUUCUAUCCCCUCUCCUCCUCCACUCCCUCCCUCGCCUUUCCCUUCUUUCCCCUACCCUCAGUCACUCCCUCCCUCCAUAACCCCUCUCGCCUCCCAACCCUGGUCCUCUCCCCCUAUCUCCCUAUCUUUACAACAAUGUAAUAAAUCUCUCAUUGCACUGCGUGGGGGUUUAUGUAAAUGAGAUCCAUAGUAACGUCAUAGCUGCUAACUGCCAGUGCAGAUGGAAGAAAUAAUGCAAAGUGGGAUUUUGUAGUUAAAACGUGAAUAACUUGUAAAAUGUAACAUCAAUCUGAACAAAGCUUGAUACACCACACACAGACAAUGGUGAGUAAGGUGGGCCUAAAAUUGUAGUGCUAUCGUGUACCGUUUUGACGUAAUUCAGAUCAUAACAAUGCACGUAAACACACAGAGAGACACACGGACAGACAGACUCACAAACAAACAAGAUGAGAGUUUUAGUAAUAUACUAGACUAAGUGGGACCCAUUGGGUCCCAGCUUCACAUGGGAGGGCUGUUCCCCCAACGCAAUAUUCCACCUCUCCACCAAUUCCAAUAUUGCUGGCCAGUGGGGGAGGCGGGGGGGGCUUUCUGGAGUGCUAGCAUGGUGUUGUGAGCCGAAUGGACUGGUUUCCAGAGGGCUAAUAUGGACAUCGUGGGCUGAAUGGAUUCUUGGGCUGGCAGCUCAGUCACUGAGACCACUCUCACUAACACACACACACACACACACACACACACACACACACACACACACACACACACACACACACACACACACACACACACACUCUCACACUCUCACACUCUCACACUCUCACACUCUCACACUCUCACACUCUCACACACUCAAACACACACACACACACACCAUAUAUAUGGCAGGAAACUUUCUUGACUACUCAUACGGCUGAGUGUGGCCUCUCCACUUUGGGACUUCUGAAAUCAGCGUGACCUCUGCACUUACUGGAAAUUACGCAAUCAGCGCAACCUGUCCACUAAGCGGAAGUCACAAAAUGAGCUUUUGAACCAAACACAGUCGUACCUAAUAAAGCAUUUAUUCCUUCCAAACACAGUCGGACCUAAUAAAGCAUUGCAGUUUCAAGCACAGGCAUGGCAGCAGGCCAAACAACUCAUGGCAUUGUCAUUAAGGGCUAACAAAUCAUUUAUUGCCAGUACUUUGCAGACUCACAGUUCAGCUGAUUCACAGCUUAGAAUGAGAGUCGUGGCCUCUCCCUCGUGUUCUUGCAGAAUGACUGAGUCACGUCCAGGCAUCCGGGGUUUUAUAGUCCUGCCCCCCUGGAAGGGGCGUUACCUUCAUCGUGGUGAUUGACAGGCGAGAGGAUCUCUAGGUUUUUUAAACACUCAUAACUUUUUUAUUUUUCAUUGAUGGGAAAAAUUCUCGGGGGCCUGCUCAGUGGAGGAUGACUGUGAGUAAGAUGGCCAAAAAUCAUAGUGAUGUAUGGCAGCGAUCUUUCUAAAAUCAAUAUACAGCGCAGACAGGAAGUGGUCAAGAUGAGACUUUUAAUUAGAUAGAUAUAUAGAUAGAUGUUUGUAUGGGAGAAUUAACAAACACUGAAGCGAUUGGCCUAACUUAAACCCUUCACUCCUGCAUUUCUGUACACUGCAGUUGCUCCUCAGUCCUUUACGCAUAGGAUUGAUCUUUCUGAACCUAGUUCAAUUUGCACGUGUGCAGUGUUGAAAUUCCAAAGGAAUUGUUUUUGAAAUCUGUGGCAUAGCAUUAUAAUUAGUUUAGUACAUUAGGAACAUGAGAUUUGUUGAACAUGUGAUACCAGUUUGAAAAUGGUAAAUGAAUCUUGGUUGACAAUGUAAUGAGCUGUAUCUCAUACAAUAUGCAUGAGGGCUGAAAUAUCAGCUUGGGGUUUGUCUGAAACAUUCAUUUGUGGGAUCCUAUUUAAACACUUUGGCCAGUUCUUCUUUUCAUCCUUGACUGUUUCCUAACAUAAGGACACUGUAUGAUUGAGGGGUCAAGCAAAGAAGUGUUGACAGAUCUCUUGAAGAUCUUGAAAAGAUGAUCCUGGGUGCAGUAUACAUUCACAUCCUGAGGAGUUUAUUGGAUUUUAGUUUUACUGAACUGUUCUCUAUUUGCUUCUUGCCCAUAGCGUGUUAGUGUUCCAUACUAUUUGCUUCUUGCCCAUAGUGUUAGUUUCUACUUCUUCUUCUUGCAUAUGGUGUGCACAGCCCAAAGUUGUAGGACAACUUGUUUCUAUUUUACCUUAUUUGAUUGUGCACGCCAGGUUGAUUGCAUUCGUUGAAACAGGGUGGACCACGAGAAGGUUGCAAUCUUCCACCCCAGAGUUAGUUCGAGGCACACUGCUGAUUAAGUAUGUUAAGCAUGUUGCAGGUGGAAUGCCAUGAGAAACGUUGGCCCUCAGUUCUCUGCAAUCUGUAUUUUAAUGUAACAUUGAAUACAUAUUUAAAUGUGGAAAAAUUAGUAAAUGUUGGUGCACAAAAGGAAAGGAGGAAAGAGAAAAUGGAUGAAAUGGAUUGUCUGCCCUGGAUUAUUAAGUGUUAAGUACUGUUGCAUUGUAGAUUUAACGGUUGUAGAUUUGGGGAAAUGUACCAACAUGAACACAUGAAGUGGUGAGGUGAAGCUUUGAUGCUCUGCCACUACAUUGGUCCUGCCAGUGGGCACUGUUCAGGCUAGGUUGCUGCUUUCUGCACAGACACGUGAAUGGGUCUGUAUUUAGAGGUAAAGCAAGAGGGAAAAUAAUCUUCUCAAAAUGAAAAUGAAGAUAUUGAGAUAAUAAUCUGGAAAUGUUGCAGGUGAAGGUGUCCUAUUAUAAUGUCUCCUGAUUCUUGCACUCUUCCUUUGAUGUUGCUGCUGUGAGAUUCAUGCAGGUGAUGCAACCUACCAGGAUAUUUUCAGAGACUUUUCCCAUAUGGCCUCUCAUAACCCCGAAAGAUUAAACCGUUUCCAGCGGAGAUCAGAGGCUGAUUAACCUUUUACUGCAUUUCUUGAGAGAACUGCAGUCAUUCUUUUGAUGCAAUCGUAUGGAAGCAUAUUUAUCAAUACAAUAUAUAUAUAUAUACACACCAAAAAUGAAUGUUAACGUUUUAAAGAGCUGUAAAUGAAGGAACCUUGGCCUAUAUAUUUCCACACAGCUAGUUUUAUUCGGAUGUUGCUGUCUAUGCAAACAUGCCACCUAUGUGCUGUUGAUUUUGUCAAACUUGAGUUAAAGUUAAUAAUCUUUUGUGAUGUUCCACCACUGGGAAACGUGCAAAUGGAAUGGAAGUUCAAGUGAAUUGAAGUCUUGUAUGUGAAAAAAAUGUUCGGACAAAAAUAUUUCCAAAAGUAUACGUCCAUCAUUCUCCAUCCAUGAAGCGGAGUGGUGAGAAAAUCAUGACCGCAGCAAGAGCACUUCCAUCCCUAUGUCUUUUAAAAGCACUGUGGGUGCUGCAAUGGUGGAGCUGUGAUGCUGCAGUGGUGGGUGUUGCAGCGGUGGAGCCGUGGGUGCUGCAGUGGUGGAGCUGCGAUGCUGCAGUGAUGGAGUUGCGAUGCUGCAGUGGUGGUGCUGCAGCGCUGGAGCUGUGGUGCAGUGAGACAAUGAACCAGUGCCCAGGGAACAUAUUACAUUUGUUUCCUCUUACAAAAUAGAAAAUGCUUUUAAUCUACAAUUUCAACAAAUAUUUUAUCAUACUUGUUAUACUUUGUAUAUUCUUUCCACCUACGAAAUGUUGGGUUUUUAUAUCUUUGAACUGCAUUACCUAUAACCCACACUUGGUGCAAUAUAUCGAGACUUUCAGGUCAACCCUCUACAUACCCUGCAACAUUAUUUUACAUCCCAACAUGAAAUCCAGUUGGUGAGAUAAAUUAAAGUAGGAAAUUAAAUGAGGAGAUUAGAAUUAAUUUAUACAUUUAGCAUUAUAUCAUCAUCAUCACCACACUAUCCUAUUUUACAUUUUGUGUUAUUCAAAUACAAAUGGCAAGCAAGUCAGUUGUCUAAGUUGAAACACGAUCUGUACCACCACUCACAAGAUGAAGCAAGUGUUACUGACUUCUUUGCCAGUGUUCAGAACAUCUUCAGUACAUGGGCAUUCAAAUUCAAAUAAAUCUAUAUUCUUAACAGAUUUUAUUUACCAACACUUAAAUUAGAUGGUGGCAACUUUAAAAAUCAACAUUGCAUCAAAGAUCAACCAGGUUAAUUCCAUAUCCUUAAGCAACAAAAAACAAAUCAAAGUUACAGAUUUUUCAAAUGUCAACAGCAUUUAUGCUGCAUUACAUUUUUAAACCUUAUAUGUCCAAUGUAUUUUGCUCUUGAACUUGUGUAAAUAUAUACCAAUAUAUGUCUGUGCCCAGGGAUUGAUAAAAUACUUUUUCUGUUUUGCUUUAGCUGUGGGUUUUGAGUUAGUACAUUUGUACAAAAGAGUUUAAAUAUAUCAGUAAAAGGUUAAUGAGAAUGUAAUGACAACUUAUGAAGUAUACCAUAAGCUCCAAAGCAGUUGAGCAGUUAUAGUCUUAUAUUUCAGUUUCAAAUGUGAUUUGUCCUUUGAGAGGCUGAAGCAUCGGCAAUUUUAGACCAGUAAUCAGUACUGUACGUACUUGAUGGAUCCAUUUGCCUCCACAAACAAAUAUACCCCCAGAAGUUUGAAAAUGUAUUCGAUCUAUUUAUCAUCCUUAUGUAAUUGCAUAUAUUGUAUAAACCUUUCUGUAUGGAAUAUUUUAUUCACAUUAUAGAACUGUUGUAUAAAAGUUCCCUGGAAACUUGUAUGAGUUUACAUUCCAUGAACAAAAAUUAAAUAUGCAUUAGGUUUUCAAAACUG